UUUCUCUUGUUAAUAAUUAGGAGGUAUAACCUGCCCAAUGAUAGUUAAUAUUUAAUGGCCGCGGUAUUUUGACCGUGCAAAGGUAGCAUAAUCAUUAGUCUCUUAAUUGGGGGCUGGGAUGAAAGGUUGAACGAAAUAGAGUCUGUCUCUUUUGUAAAUUUUGAAUUUAAGGUUUAAGUAAAAACUCUUAAAUAUUUUUGUGGGACGAUAAGACCCUAUAGAUUUUGAUAUAAUUUUUAAUUGGUUAGUGUGGUGUUGGUGAUGUUGAUUUAAAAUUAUAAAUUUGUAUUUUGUUGGGGUGACUAUGAAAUAUUUAAAUUUUCAUAAAUUGGUUGUGUUAUUAAUUUAUAUUUUUUUGAUCCAUUGUUUGAUUGAUUAUAAGACUAAAUUACCUUAGGGAUAACAGCGUAAUUUUUCUGGAGAGUUCUUAUUGAUGGGGAAGAUUGCGA
rnacentral:rRNA from 1 species